UACGUAGGGGGCAAGCGUUGUCCGGAUUUAUUGGGCGUAAAGAGCGUGUAGGCGGCCAGGUAGGUCUGCUGUGAAAACUCGAGGCUCAACCUCGAGACGCCGAUGGAAACCAUCAGACUAGAGUCCGGAAGAGGAGAGUGGAAUUCCUGGUGUAGCGGUGAAAUGCGCAGAUAUCAGGAAGAACACCCGUGGCUAAGGCGGCUCUCUAGUACGGUACUGACGCUGAGACGCGAAAGCGUGGGGAGCGAACAGG
rnacentral:rRNA from 1 species